rnacentral:snRNA from 1 species
UCAUCAUACAGAAAAGAUUAGCAUGGCCCUGCAUAAGUAUGACAUGUAAAUUCAUGAAGUGUUCCAUAUUUUA